rnacentral:rRNA from 1 species
CGGGAGGUGAGCGAUACUUAUCACAUCUCCGCCCGUCGCACCCGCUCGCUUCCCUUUCCCUUUGCUCGGGCGCAGGUGACACAGGGUGGAGUCAGCGGAGGGGGAGGAGGGUGGAGUCGGCGGAGGGGGGGAGAACAGGCGGGGCCCACGCCUCCGCUCGAAGGGCCACCGCGACUGAGCUUCGCCCGUGCGUCGGUGAGGAGACAGAGCAAGAGAGGGAAGGCGGCGGCGAGCAGCGUCGAGACGGAGGGGCGGACCGUCGCCGAUCUCUUCCCGAUGAGGCGAAGGGGCGGAGUGGAGGAGAAGGAGAGAAGGACUCCCGCGGUCCUCGGAGCUAUACCUCGUCCUCUCCGGUCCUCACGUCGGAGCUAGACCUCUUCCCUCGUCGGCAGCCGGCUAAAGCCGGGCGAGGCCGCUGGGGCUGCCGGUAGGUCGUGUACGAGCGGCCUCCCUAGCGCACCGCCGAGACUCCGUCGCCGUCGCUGCCGCAGGCUCAGGAGCCUCUACUCCCAGCUGCUGCCGUUGUAGGUCCUCCGGCUCAGGAGCGAGGCGCUCCCGGAGAGGGAGUUGAUGCUCCAAGUCCAGGUCGGUUGUCACCCAAGGUAAGUCUAACCAUUAGAGGUCGAGGGACAAGGUCUAGCCACCAUCUUCUGGGGAUCACAUGAGAGCUGCUCUCGGUGUUCACAUUGUCCACGUAUUACUAUGCAGAGGU